AAGCGCUUGUGACCAGACUUGCACUUUGUGGAUCACCUAACGUUUUCGUUGGGGUAUUCUGCUUGGUACAGGCCAGCAUCGGUUUUGUGAGGGGGAUAAAAGCCCUGGGAACGUAGCUCUUCGGAGUGUUAUAGCCCUAGGUAUAAUACCCUUCAUGGGACCGAGGUUCGCGCUUCUGCAAGGAUGCUGGCAUAAUGGUCAUCAGCGA
rnacentral:rRNA from 1 species